rnacentral:rRNA from 1 species
AUGCAGUCGAGCGGAGAGAGGUAGCUUGCUACCGAUCUUAGCGGCGGACGGGUGAGUWAUGCUUAGGAAUCUGCCUAUUAGUGGGGGACAACAUUUCGAAAGGAAUGCUAAUACCGCAUACGUCCUACGGGAGAAAGCAGGGGAUCUUCGGACCUUGCGCUAAUAGAUGAGCCUAAGUCGGAUUAGCUAGUUGGUGGGGUAAAGGCCUACCAAGGCGACGAUCUGUAGCGGGUCUGAGAGGAUGAUCCGCCACACUGGGACUGAGACACGGCCCAGACUCCUACGGGAGGCAGCAGUGGGGAAUAUUGGACAAUGGGCGCAAGCCUGAUCCAGCCAUGCCGCGUGUGUGAAGAAGGCCUUAUGGUUGUAAAGCACUUUAAGCGAGGAGGAGGCUACUUUAGUUAAUACCUAGAGAUAGUGGACGUUACUCGCAGAAUAAGCACCGGCUAACUCUGUGCCAGCAGCCGCGGUAAUACAGAGGGUGCAAGCGUUAAUCGGAUUUACUGGGCGUAAAGCGCGCGUAGGCGGCUAAUUAAGUCAAAUGUGAAAUCCCCGAGCUUAACUUGGGAAUUGCAUUCGAUACUGGUUAGCUAGAGUGUGGGAGAGGAUGGUAGAAUUCCAGGUGUAGCGGUGAAAUGCGUAGAGAUCUGGAGGAAUACCGAUGGCGAAGGCAGCCAUCUGGCCUAACACUGACGCUGAGGUGCGAAAGCAUGGGGAGCAAACAGGAUUAGAUACCCUGGUAGUCCAUGCCGUAAACGAUGUCUACUAGCCGUUGGGGCCUUUGAGGCUUUAGUGGCGCAGCUAACGCGAUAAGUAGACCGCCUGGGGAGUACGGUCGCAAGACUAAAACUCAAAUGAAUUGACGGGGGCCCGCACAAGCGGUGGAGCAUGUGGUUUAAUUCGAUGCAACGCGAAGAACCUUACCUGGCCUUGACAUAGUAAGAACUUUCCAGAGAUGGAUUGGUGCCUUCGGGAACUUACAUACAGGUGCUGCAUGGCUGUCGUCAGCUCGUGUCGUGAGAUGUUGGGUUAAGUCCCGCAACGAGCGCAACCCUUUUCCUUAUUUGCCAGCGAGUAAUGUCGGGAACUUUAAGGAUACUGCCAGUGACAAACUGGAGGAAGGCGGGGACGACGUCAAGUCAUCAUGGCCCUUACGGCCAGGGCUACACACGUGCUACAAUGGUCGGUACAAAGGGUUGCUACCUAGCGAUAGGAUGCUAAUCUCAAAAAGCCGAUCGUAGUCCGGAUUGGAGUCUGCAACUCGACUCCAUGAAGUCGGAAUCGCUAG